rnacentral:lncRNA from 1 species
AACAACAACAGUAUCAUUUUACGUCUAGAAAAAUGGGAUAAAAAUGAUCAUCAAAGUCAUUCAAUGUUGGAUUUAUCAUCAUGGACAUGUUGUACGAAGUCUCCGGAAAGACAUUGAAGUUUCAGGCCGCACCACAAAACUUCUGAAGGGUCCACGAUCCCACGGAAGCCCUGUCUGGACCGACGCAAGUGUUAUCAUCUCGUCAGAACAAACCUGACGGCCAGCUGCGUGAAUUCCUUUGACUCCGCGGUGAACGUCUCACCCCCGGAGCAGGGGAGAUAUUGAGAAAAGAAACGGAGCAGAAAAGCCUUUGUCACAGUCCACCAGGUUGCCGGGCUCGAUGGCACUCGGAGAAGAGCGGCUUACUGGAGAGCCCUGCUGCUGGUCAUCUCCUCAUGCUCCACAUGGGCCGGUGGUCACUGAGGGGAGCAUGAGGAAAGUCUUGCUGUCACACUACCAAUGCUCAGAAUUUCAAAGAUUUAAAAAGAGAGCAUACACCUAGAAAUCCACACAAACUGGUUUAUUUUUUUUUUACAGGAGAUACAUGCUCCAUUAUUGGCCUAAAACUUGCAGUAACAGCAGCGUCAUUGCUCGACGGAGCCGGGGUCAGUACCCUGGACAGCUCCCUCUGCACCGACAGCAGCAGGAUCAGGUCACCUGACACACUUCGUCAAGUUACCAGGCUCGACGCUGACCUCACAGCGAACACGUUCGCACGAAGUUCCUGCGCGGGCUGCAGAUGCCCUGCUUGUUGCGACCUGAGCACAAGGGUUUGGUAGCUCACAAAUAGACGCCAUAGUUUGGUAAACAUGAUAAUUACCAGCAGGAGCAGCUGUAAUUUUUUUUCCUCUUGGAUGCUUAACUUGGAAUUCAUUAACUAACUUGUUAUAACUGCUUUCCACAGACCAGCACAAAGAAUGACUAUUUCCCACCUCAACAGGAAAAUGUCAGGCUCUGUCCUUUACAGAUGAAAAGAAACACCAUUGAAGAUAAUUCUGCUCAAUUAGACGGUACAUUUUCCUGGAACUACUGUGCAUAAUAUUUCAGAGAGACGCUCUCGACUUCUCCGACCCUUUUUCAUAAUUUCAUCAAAUUGUCAUUUUGCUGCAGUUUUCCUCCGCUCCACCUCCACGGGUCACACAUAAUUAACACAUUUGUCAUGAAAGGUGUUUAUUAGCAUUGAUUACUCUUAGAAUAAAAUCUGUGAUUUAUGCAGAAACAGGAAAAAUAAAUGAGACACUCAGAGGCUUAUGAAUAUAAACACUUCUGGCAAUAAUAAACAUAUGCUGUAUUUGGAUUUAUAUAUUUGGCUGAAAAGUAUAGGCUGGACAUUUUAAUUUACUAUUGAGUGAACCUGCAGAGAAACAAAGCAGAAGAAAAAAAAUGUAAGGAACAUGUGGCAAUAAAUUUUUCUUCACUCCUUGAGCAAAUGCGAGUUUAAUGUCUUGCUCAGGGGUUUGAUUCAAGUGGUUGGUUUUCCAGCGAUGGGGCUUGACCCCCAGUCCUCUUGUUGAAGGAUUGUUGAACUACUUUUCCUUCC